CUCCUGCAAAGAUCUAAGUAUAGGAGGUCCAGCCUGCCCAGUGACUAUGGGUUUAACGGCCGCGGUAUUUUGACCGUGCAAAGGUAGCGCAAUCACUUGUCUUUUAAAUGAAGACCCGUAUGAAUGGCUAAACGAGGGCUUGACUGUCUCCCCCUUCGAGUCAGUGAAAUUGAUCUAUCCGUGCAGAAGCGGGUGUGAACGUAC
rnacentral:rRNA from 1 species